rnacentral:rRNA from 1 species
GGGCUCACACAAGCGGUGGAGCAUGUGGCUUAAUUCGAAGCAACGCGAAGAACCUUAUCCAGGGUUUGACAUCCCGGAUUAACCUAUUGAAAAAUAGGCUACGCCCUCUGGGUGGAACGGUGACAGGUGCUGCAUGGCUGUCGUCAGCUCGUGCUGUGAAGUGUCGGGUUAAGUCCCUCAACGAGCGCAACCCUUAUCUCUAGUUGCUAACAGGUAAUGCUGAGGACUCUAGCGAGACUGCCGGUGUCAAACCGGAGGAAGGUGGGGAUGACGUCAAGUCCUCAUGGCCUUUAUGCCCUGGGCUGCACACGUGCUACAAUGGUAGGUACAGAACGAUGCAAGACCGCGAGGUGGAGCAAAUCGCUAAAACCUGCCCCAGUUCGGAUUGCAGGCUGCAACUCGCCUGCAUGAAGUCGGAAUCGCUAGUAAUCG